rnacentral:rRNA from 1 species
UACGUAGGGUGCAAGCGUUGUCCGGAAUUAUUGGGCGUAAAGAGCGUGUAGGCGGCCCGACCAGUCCGCUGUGAAAGUCCAGGGCUCAACCCUGGAAUGCCCGGUGGAUACUGUCGGGCUAGAGUCCGGAAGGGGCGAGUGGAAUUCCUGGUGUAGCGGUGAAAUGCGCAGAUAUCAGGAGGAACACCUGUGGCGAAAGCGGCUCACUGGACCAUAACUGACGCUGAUGCACGAAAGCUAGGGGAGCAAACAGG